rnacentral:rRNA from 1 species
GAUGAACGCUGGCGGCGUGCCUAAUACAUGCAAGUCGAGCGAACAGACGAGGAGCUUGCUCCUCUGACGUUAGCGGCGGACGGGUGAGUAACACGUGGAUAACCUACCUAUAAGACUGGGAUAACUUCGGGAAACCGGAGCUAAUACCGGAUAAUAUAUUGAACCGCAUGGUUCAAUAGUGAAAGACGGGUUUGCUGUCACUUAUAGAUGGAUCCGCGCCGCAUUAGCUAGUUGGUAAGGUAACGGCUUACCAAGGCAACGAUGCGUAGCCGACCUGAGAGGGUGAUCGGCCACACUGGAACUGAGACACGGUCCAGACUCCUACGGGAGGCAGCAGUAGGGAAUCUUCCGCAAUGGGCGAAAGCCUGACGGAGCAACGUCGCGUGAGUGAUGAAGGUCUUCGGAUCGUAAAACUCUGUUAUUAGGGAAGAACAAAUGUGUAAGUAACUAUGCACGUCUUGACGGUACCUAAUCAGAAAGCCACGGCUAACUACGUG